rnacentral:rRNA from 1 species
GAUCAUGGCUCAGGAUGAACGCUGGCGGCGUGCUUAACACAUGCAAGUCGAACGAAGAUGCCGGAGUGCUUGCACUUUGGCAGACUGAGUGGCGGACGGGUGAGUAACGCGUGGGUAACCUGCCUUAUACAGGGGGAUAACAGUUGGAAACGACUGCUAAUACCGCAUAAGCGCACGGUAUCGCAUGAUACAGUGUGAAAAACUCCGGUGGUAUGAGAUGGACCCGCGUCUGAUUAGCCAGUUGGCGGGGUAACGGCCCACCAAAGCGACGAUCAGUAGCCGACCUGAGAGGGUGACCGGCCACAUUGGGACUGAGACACGGCCCAAACUCCUACGGGAGGCAGCAGUGGGGAAUAUUGCACAAUGGGGGAAACCCUGAUGCAGCGACGCCGCGUGAGCGAAGAAGUAUUUCGGUAUGUAAAGCUCUAUCAGCAGGGAAGAAGAAUGACGGUACCUGACUAAGAAGCACCGGCUAAAUACGUG